rnacentral:misc_RNA from 1 species
ACACCUCAACUCUCAUGGUCCGCCAUGAUGAGCUUGGACUUUGGGGGUCUUGCCGGACCAGCGUCGGCUCCUCUAAAAUGGAUCAGCUUGCCAGUGUUUGGUGGCGUCACAGGUGUGAUAACUAUCUACGCUUGUGGUUCCCCGCCAAGUGACCUUCAGCGAUGGAGGUCCGCUGGAGCUCACAGACGUCUCUCCUCGUGAGGACAGCUUUUUGAAC